GAUCAUUACCUAGAGUUGUAGGCUUUGCCUGCUAUCUCUUACCCAUGUCUUUUAAGUACCUUACGUUUCCUCGGCGGGUCCGCCCGCCGAUUGGACAAUUUAAACCAUUUGCAGUUGCAAUCAGCGUCUGAAAAAACUUAAUAGUUACAACUUUCAACAACGGAUCUCUUGGUUCUGGCAUCGAUGAAGAACGCAGCGAAAUGCGAUAAGUAGUGUGAAUUGCAGAAUUCAGUGAAUCAUCGAAUCUUUGAACGCACAUUGCGCCCCUUGGUAUUCCAUGGGGCAUGCCUGUUCGAGCGUCAUUUGUACCUUCAAGCUCUGCUUGGUGUUGGGUGUUUGUCUCGCCUCUGCGUGUAGACUCGCCUCAAAACAAUUGGCAGCCGGCGUAUUGAUUUCGGAGCGCAGUACAUCUCGCGCUUUGCACUCAUAACGACGACGUCCAAAAGUACAUUUUUACACUCUUGACCUCGGAUCAGGUAGGGAUACCCGCUGAACUUAAGCAUAUCAAUAANCGGA
rnacentral:rRNA from 1 species